CAGUGUCAAGAAAAAAGGGGGAAUGAUAUGUGAGUGUUGAGAUGUAACAAGAACUAAUCCUUUUUGCAGUGGGAUGGAGCCUGGAAACUGCCCAGAGCUGAGCCCAGGGAUUGAAAGGGACCAAGCAAGGGAGGUGAAGAAAGAAGGAAGAAGGGAAGUGAGGCAGCAGGCAAGCAGCACCAAGUUGCUGUGUAAGCAGGUGAGUUGUGUUGAGGUUCCUCAGGCAGGCACUGAGGACUUGGAGGGCUCCAGACAGAGCAGACCUGGGAAGGCCCUCGGUGAAGCUCCUUGGAAACCUUCUAAGGGUAGGUGUGUGUGGUGAUAAGUGUUGGGAUUGUCCUGAAUGUGGAACAGGAAUGCAGGGAAGGAAAAUGAACCCUCCUGUAAUGCUGACCCCUCCCAUCAGCUGCAGUGGAGACACCUGUGUGUGCCUGCAGGUAAGAAAAGCUGGGAGAUUUGUGUCAGUUGGGGGUCAUUUUUUUGGGGAGAUUUGUGUCAGUUUGGGGUCAUUUUUUAGGGAGAUUUCGGUUGUUUUCUGGCCUUUUUUUAUGGAGAUUUGUGUCAGUUUUGGGUCAUUUUUUGGGGAGAUUUGUGUCAGUUUUGGGUCAUUUUUUGGGGAGAUUUGUGUCAGUUUUGGGUCAUUUUAUGGGGAGAUUUGUGUCAGUUUCUGGCCUUUUUUUGGGGAGAUUUGUGUCAGUUUUGGGUCAUUUUUUGGGGAGAUUUGUGCAGUUUCUGACCAUUUUUUUAGUGCUAUUUGUGUCAGUUUUGGGUCAUUUUUUGGGGAGAUUUGUGUCAGUUUCUGACCAUUUUUUGGGGAGAUUUGUGUCUGUUUUGGGUCAUUUUUUGGGGAGAUUUGUGUCAGUUUUUGGCCAUUUUUUGGGGAGAUUUGUGUCAGUUUCUGGCCACUUUUUAGGGAGAUUUGUGUCAGUUUUGGGUCAUUUUUUGGGGAGAUUUGUGUCAGUUUUGGGUCAUUUUUUGGGGAGAUUUGUGUCAGUUUUGGGUCAUUUUUUGGGAGAUUUGUGUCAGUUUUGGGUCAUUUUUUGGGGAGAUUUGUGUCAGUUUUGGGUCAUUUUUUGGGGAGAUUUGUGUCAGUUUUGGGUCAUUUUUUGGAGAGAUUUGUGUCUGUUUCUGACCUUUUUUUUGGGAGAUUUGUUUCAGUUUCUGGCCUUUUUUUGGGGAGAUUUGUGUCAGUUUUGGGUCAUUUUUGGGGAGAUUUGUGUCAGUUUUGGGUCAUUUUUUGGGGAGAUUUGGGACAGUUUCUGGCCAUUUUUUUGGGGAGAUUUGUGUCAGUUUUGGGUCAUUUUUUAGGGAGAUUUGUGUCAGUUUCUGGCCAUUUUUUUGGGGAGAUUUGUGUCAGUUUUGGGUCAUUUUUUGGGAGAUUUGUGUCAGUUUUGGGUCAUUUUUUGGGGAGAUUUGGGUGACUUUCUGGCUGGUUUUUUUGGGAGAUUUGGGUGAGUUUCUGGCCAUUUUUUUGGGGAGAUUUGUGUCAGUUUUGGGUCAUUUUUUGGGGAGAUUUGUGUCAGUUUGGGUCAUUUUUUGGGGAGAUUUGUGUCAGUUUCUGGCCAUUUUUUUGGGGAGAUUUGUGUCAGUUUUGGCUCAAUUUUUGAGGAGAUUUGUGUCAGUUUUGGGUCAUUUUUUGGGGAGAUUUGUGUCAGUUUCUGGCCAUUUUUUGGGGAGAUUUGUGUCAGUUUUGGGUCAUUUUUUGGGGAGAUUUGUGUCAGUUUUGGGCCACUUUUUAGGGAGAUUUGUGUCAGUUUUGGUCUUUUUUUGGAGAGAUCUGUGUCACUUUUGGGUCAUUUUUUAGGAGAUUUGUGUCAGUUUUGGGUCAUUUUUUUGGGGAGAUUUGUGUCAGUUUUGGCUCAUUUUUUGGGGAGAUUUGUGUCAGUUUUGGGUCUUUUUUUGGGGAGAUUUGUGUCAGUUUUGGGUCAUUUUUUGGUGAGAUUUGUGUCAGUUUUGGGCCACUUUUUAGGGAGAUUUGUGUCAGUUUUGGGUCAUUUUUUAGGGAGAUUUGUGUCAGUUUUGGGUCAUUUUUUAGGGAGAUUUGUGUCAGUUUUGGGUCAUUUUUUGGGGAGAUUUGUGUCAGUUUUGGGUCAUUUUUGGGAGAUUUGUGUCAGUUUUGGGUCAUUUUUUGGGGAGAUUUGGGAGAGUUUCUGACCAUAUUUUGGGGAGAUUUGUGUCAGUUUUGGGUCAUUUUUUGGGAGAUUUGUGUCAGUUUCUGGCCAUUUUUUUGGGGAGAUUUGUGUCAUUUCUGGCCAUUUUUUUGGGGAGAUUUGUGUCAGUUUUGGGUCAUUUUUUAGGGAGAUUUGUGUCUCUUUCUGACCAUUUUUUUUGAGAGAUUUGGGUGAGUUUCUGGCCUUUUUUUUUAGGGAGAUUUGGGAGAGUUUCUGGCCAUUUUUUUGGGGAGAUUUGUGUCAGUUUUGGGUCAUUUGUGACAUGUAUUGGCUUUUGCACGAGCCUUGUCUGCCUUAUGUUUGAAUUGCUUUCUCUUCUCGGCAGUUGUUUUAAAUUAAACUUUUAUUUUGUGUC